rnacentral:rRNA from 1 species
AGUGAACGCUGGCGGUAGGCCUAACACAUGCAAGUCGAACGGCAGCACAGUAAGAGCUUGCUCUUACGGGUGGCGAGUGGCGGACGGGUGAGGAAUACAUCGGAAUCUACUUUUUCGUGGGGGAUAACGUAGGGAAACUUACGCUAAUACCGCAUACGACCUACGGGUGAAAGCAUGGGAUCUUCGGACCUUGCGCGAUUGAAUGAGCCGAUGUCGGAUUAGCUAGUUGGCGGGGUAAAGGCCCACCAAGGCGACGAUCCGUAGCUGGUCUGAGAGGAUGAUCAGACACACUGGAACUGAGACACGGUCCAGACUCCUACGGGAGGCAGCAGUGGGGAAUAUUGGACAAUGGGCGCAAGCCUGAUCCAGCCAUACCGCGUGGGUGAAGAAGGCCUUCGGGUUGUAAAGCCCUUUUGUUGGGAAAGAAAAGCAGCAGGUUAAUACCCCGCUGUUCUGACGGUACCCAAAGAAUAAGCACCGGCUAACUUCGUG